GUGAGUUACCAUCCCGUUUUCCCCGUUUUAUGCUCCUAUAUGUUUCAUUAUAAAUGUUUGGAGAAUUUGAAGUAAUUCGGAUGGAGUUAGAUUAGAAAUGAGACAAUUAGUCUCUUUAUGAGGAGGUUAGUUUAGAAAAGUCAACCGAAUGUUGUCUUAUGAGUUAGAGGGCUCGGAAUGGAUUUAUGAUGAUUCAACUAGUUUCGAGUGAUGAUUUAUUACUUAAGAGCGCAAUCGGAAUUGAAUUUUGAGCUCCGGUGUAGAAAUAGGUUUGAAUUUGCGAAGUUUGAAUUUUGGCGAUUUCAGUUGAUAGGUGAUAUUUUGAUCCGAGGGUCGGAAUGGAAUUCUGAUAGUUGUAGUAGCUCCAUUAGGUGGUUUUUGAUAUGCGUGCAAAGUUUCAGGUCUUUCGAAGGUGUUUAGGUCAGGUUUUUGAUCAAAUGCAAGUUUCGAAAGGUUUGGUUUGACUUAGGCUUGAAUCUGUCGAAAUUUGAUGUUUUUGAUGUUUAUGGUAGUGUUUUUAUGCCUCGAAGAAGUUUGAAUGAAGUAAUAGAACAUAUCUGUGCAUUUGGUUGAGGUCCCGAGGGCCUCGGCGUGAUUUCGGAUGGCUAACGGGGAAUUUUGAAUAAGAAAAUGCAGCAGAAAAAUGCAACAGAGAUUUUUCUCUAUGCAAUCCCAUAGGUAUGUCUGCGAUCUCAUAGAAGGUUUUGGAGGGGCCAUGGAUUUGCCCUAUGCGAUCACGUGAGAGGCUGUGCGAUCGCAUAGGUGUAGGACUUUAUUCAGUGCGUUCUCACUCAGGGUGAUGCGAUCACGUAGAGGUAGAAGGCUGUGUUAUGCAAUCACAGGGACAGUUAUGCGAUCGCAUAGGAGGAGUUUUGGGAAGGUGAAAUUUGUGCUAUGCUCGCAAUGGUAAUGAUGCGAUCGCAUACGGUUAAAAAUGCCUGCGCAGAAUGCUUUUAAGGGUUAUUUCAUCCGCGACCUAUUUAUUAUUUCCACCAUUUAUACUCCGCCAAGACAGCUUUUUGACCGGUUUGAGGAGGGUUUUCGACGGGUAUUGAUUUUUGAGGUAAGUCUCUUAACUUUUAAACACCAUUUUAUUGAAGAAUUAACAUCCAAAUCCAUGGAAAUAGGUUGAUAUUGUGAAGAACUAUGGCUUGAUUUUGAAAAUGAAUUCUGGGGAUUUGAAAGGCCAUUUGAACUCUCAUUUUGGUAAACUUUAUAUGUACGGACUCGUAGCGAGACAAGGAAUCCAUUGAUGUGAUUUUUAGAAUUUUUUCGAAAAGUGAGCCCGAGGCUCGGGUUUUACCAACUUCGUGAAUUUUAGUACUUUUCGAGUAUUUUUUAUUGGGUUAUGUUUCUUUAACCCAUACUUAUGUAUUUGUUGUGAAUUAGACUAGAUUUGACAGCGAGGAGGUUGAUACAAGAGGAAAAGGCAUUAAAGACCAGUUUACGAUCGGUUAGAGGUGAGUAGUUUAUAUAGAUGAUGGCCUCAGGGUUUGAAACCCCGGUUUAUCAACAUUGUGAUACUAUGUAGGGCGAGACUUGCACCCCAUGGAAGGUGCAAGAAUGUUUAUGACUGGGGAUUUUGACUUGGUUUAACCCAUAUUUAUGUAUUCGUUGUGAUUUUGACAAGAUUCUACGCGCAAGGAGGUCGAUACAAGAGGAAAAGACAUUGCGGACCAAUCUACGACCAGUUAGAGGUGAGUAGUUUGUAUAGAUGAAGGCAUGAGGGUUUGAAACUCAUGUUUAUCACAUUGUGAUGCUAUAUUAGGGCGUGACUCGCACCCCAUGGCAGGUGCAGGAUCAUAUAUGAUUGGGGAUUAUGACUUGGUCCAUCCCGAGUGCUAAUUAUGAUAUAUUGGCGGUUGAUACACACAUUGUGUUGUUGAAAAUAUGGCUUAUUGCCAUAUUUGGGGCUUUGUGCCAAUUUGUAGCAUCCGUCUAGGAUGGAUAUUUAUGUGAUAGCAUGACUUGUAUAACCAUUGAUUUGAGUCCUGUGUUUAAUUACUGUUAUGAAAUGCUAAGUCACUUUUCCUAAAAUUAAAUAAACUAAAUUAUAUUCUUCUUAAUAAUUGGAAACUCGAAAAUUAGUUGAACAUGUUAUGUGACGCAUAUGCAUACUAUGGACUGAGUAUGGAUCAGGAUACAUACCGCAGUGAUGAUAUUAUGAUAUUGUGCUUGGGCUAUAGGAACCCCUCCGGAGUCUGUACACACCUUAGUGAGCGCCGCAACGAUAAAUGGAUCGGGCUGUACGCCGUAGCGGGUCAUGUGCAUUGCAUUGCAUCUUUGCAUUAUACUUGACUGAUAUACUUGAUAAUGCUUUGUUGUUGGUUUGUAGCUAAGGCGUCGGACUGUUAGUUUUAGCUUUACCUUGUGGCAUUUCGUGGAUUUCUUAUCUUCAGACAUUUUAUAUGUUUAUUACUUACUGAGUCGGUAGUCCUCACCCCUACUCCCUGCGCCUUGUAUGCAGAUUCAGGUGCACCUGAAGCUUAGCUGAGCAGUCAUUGUCUCCAGAGAUUUUUCCGAGUUGUUGAGGAUCACCCCUACUCCAUGCACCUUGUGUGCAGAUUCAGGUUUACCGGAGGCUUCGCUGAGCAGUCGUGGUCUACAGAGUUUUUCUCAGAGUUGUUGAGGUAGCUGUUUAACGUUCGCAGGACCCGACUACUCCUCCUAUUUCAGUGUUAUUUAAAUAUACAUUUUCGGACUUAUAUAUUCUCGUUCAGAUAUUUGAUAUCCAGUUUAUUUUAGAGGCUCUAGACUCGUGACCCCAGAUAUUAUGGGAGUGUUUAUCGGUUUUCGCAUCUCUCCGUAUUAUUUUACAAAUAUUAUUGGAUUAUUAUUCUAAAAGUAUUACAUUUCUCCUUAAAUUGUUGGGUUGAGACUUAUAGUUCAAUUGAGAGUGAUUGUUGGUCAGGCUUGCCUAGCUUUAGGGUUGGGUUCCAUCACGUCCGGGUUUGGGUCGUGACAAGUUGGUAUCAGAGCCUAGGUUACUAGGCCUCGCGAGUCAUGAGCCGGAUUAGUAGAGUCUCGCGGAUCGAUACGUAGACGUCUGUAUCUAUCCUCGGGAGGCUACAGAACCUCUAGGAAAUAAUUCACAUUCUUGAAAUCUUAUCAUGCGUCCUUGAUUCAGCUUCAAAGAGUAACUCUUGAAAUUCCUUCCACGUGUUCGCAUGCGCGCAUGAUCGCUCGAUAUUAUAUGUGCUUCGAUGGCUUGUGAUUCCCCGGUCAAGGGGAGAGAUAUAACUUCUGUGAUUUAUGUUGGGCCAGUAUGGAGGACUUGAGGCCGGAUCUUGCCUAGGGCUUGAUCACUGAGGAACUGAUCGUGUGAUCAAGUAUUUUAAACUUAGAUGUUCGGUAUUGUCGCUAUUAGCCAGAAUGGAAGUUUGGCAUCCAUUUGAUGAGUAUGUUAGUAUUGCAAUAUGCAAUUAUAGGACUUGGUAGUGACGAAGAAGUCUGCUGGAUAAUGGAUGAACUGUCAAAUGAUUCGUUUCCUAUGGUGGUCGGAUGAGUAGUUCGAGUUGUGGGCGCGUGAAGAAUCUUUUUGAGUCUCCUAGUGGGAGCAAAGUAAAUUGCACGAUACGGUAUGAGUUUAAAAUCAAGAAGACUAAAAGCUGUGUAAUCUGUAUGACCGUGGAAGGCAUACAUAAAUGUUAUAUUGAGGUGAAGCAAGUGGGUUAUCUCAUGCGGAGCGAUCUGAAGUGAUGCGAUUCUUGUAUGAGUAUGUUAGAAGAUCUCAUUUGUAAUUGAAAGGUAUUUUCUAUGUUUUAUGAUUCAAAUAGGUGCAACGUAUGUUCAUGUAUUAAUUUUGAUAAUAAAAUACAUGUAGUAUUGAGUUUAAUGUUGUUGAUAUACAUUGUGAUGCUUUCUCAAGUUGUGGAUGUGUUGCUAGGAUGGUUUUGGUGAUUCUCUGGCAGGUGGAUAGGCUCAAUUACAAAGGAAACUCUGUCAAAAUUUUUGAAAAAUUUGGGACUUAGUAAAAAUUUGGUCGCCUACAGAGUGGGAUUAACUGUUGCGUGAAUGAAUGCAAGAAUUGUAGAGGAGUUUCAAAAAAAUUUCUUAUGAUUCGUGUUUCGACAAGCUUAUGAAAGAGUGGGUUUAAUCUCACCAUGAUAUUACGACAGCAAUAGAGUAUAUGUGUUAUGAUAUAUAUGGCUUCGAGCUUCAUUGGGAAGGUUGCUGUUAUUUAGCUAAUUGUACGGUUAUGUACUAUGUUAGUUACGAUUUGAUCCAUGCGGGUGAAUCAGUUCUGGUUGCAGAAAUUGAGCCGAGGGUGGCACGAGUGAAGCAAAAUAUUCGACAAAGUUUAUAUGGUUGUUAGUAGAUGUGAGGAAAUAAUAGUAUGUCUUGAGUUGUUGAUAAAGAAUGUUUAGUGUAACGAGAAGGAAGUAGUUUGGUUGUAUCAGAAUGAGACCAUGUCUUACGGUGUCAGAGUGUUGACAAGGCAUGAGUGGUUCGAUUUGUUAAGUCGAGUAAUUCAUAGUGUGUAUAAGAGUGGAUGACUCUUGAGAAUGGUUUUGAUGUGUUCAAAUUCUAUAUGUAGCACUCAGGUGUUUUAAGGUACAGUAGGUGACCAAGUCAGUGUUUUCAUUAAAACAUGCCAAGAUUGUGGUAUUUUUAUGUUAAUUACGGGAUUCUAUGUAUCAGCAUCUGGGAAGUAAAGGUAGCGGACUUAGAUCCGCAGGAAGUUCUUCAAGGUUGGGUAUUAUAGAAGGUGGUAUAUUGGGAAAGAUUGAGAGAGUAUAUAGUGGCCUAUUGGUCUUAGACAGUGUGGUCUUACGUUCGAGUCUCGUGUNNNNNNNNNNNNNNNNNNNNNNNNNNNNNNNNNNNNNNNNNNNNNNNNNNNNNNNNNNNNNNNNUGGUACAACUAUUUUGUUUGAAUCAAUUUCCCUAUUGGUCUUAGACCGUGUGGUCAUAUGUUCCAGUCUAGUGUGGUAUGCCUGGAUUGAGGCAUUGUGGUACUACUGCAAGAGAGUAUAUCAAGUUGAAAAUGAAUCAGAAGGAAAUGUAGACAAAUGAAGUAGCUUGUUAGUGGACCGAAUCGGUAUGGUAAAGAUAUGAUCAAUUCCUUGUUUAUGUUCGAGGGAAUGAGCCCUUAUGGGUAUUGGGUGGCAGAGCUUUUGAGUCCGGACAGCUUGCUUAGACUGGUAUGGAUAGAAGGAUUUAGUCAUGGCAGUUACCUUGUGGUUAGAAAAAAGGAGAUGGAGUUCUCAGGUUGAUGUUCGAGGUAAUGAGCCCCUACGGGUAUUGAGCGGUAGAGCUUUUGAGCUCGGACAAAUAUCUUGGACUGGUGUGGAUAGAAGGAUUUAGUCCUGGCAGUUUAGCUGGUGGUAAGGAAAAAGGAGAUGGAGUUCUCAGGCUAUCCUAGUAUGGUAUGGUAUGUGCGGUCAGUUGUGGAGGAUUGGGAUUUGUGUGUGUAAGGUACGGUUAAGUUCCGAAUGGAAAAUCAUUAAAUUCUUAAGCAGCACGGGCAGCUGCAGGUGAUUUAAGAAUCGACCCUCAGAUUAUUAAGGAAAAUGGUACUGGUAAUUGGAAGUGAUUUGACGAUAGUAUAUGUCUCGGAAGGAGGGUAACGUGAUCAGACUAAUGAUACAUCAGUAGUGUUGCGACAUUUCUUGUUGGAUCAACUGCUAAUAUUCGAGUUUGCUGAUGGCACAGGGAAAUUUUAGAAUAGCUUUUGUGGAACUAUUUGCUACUCGAUGUGUAAUGUAAAUUCACACGGCGGAACGUGAGAUCAGGUUUAGUGAUCUGUGUGUUAGUAUGGAGGGGGAGACUGGGAGUUCUGCGACAUCGUCUUUGUCGUGGUUGUGGUUAUUUAUCUGUUGAUACGAUAGACUUUGGAUAUGAGAUUGGGUUUAGACUGGUUGCCUCAGUGAUGGGUUAAUCUAGACUAUUGCGUUUUGGGCUUUGGCGGAGGAUGCCAUAGGUUGCGUGUCGAGGUGCAUCGGGUAAUGUUAUAGCGAGAGCGGUUGCAUUCCAAAGACCAGUAGACGGCUGAGGAGGAUUACUUGUCUUGUUUGGGCCUUCAUGGCAAAUGUUAGUGCAGAGAUUUUUACCAUUGAUUCAGUUCCGGUACUAAGGGACUUUUUCGGACGCAUUCCUUGCGGCCGGCCAUAUUGCCGGGUGAGAUUGUGAAUUUCCGUAUUUAUUCAUUGUCGGGCCACCGAAUCGUACAUCUUUGGCAUGAAUUUUAGUAGUGGAAGGGGCAGCUUCAGGCUUCUUGGCAAUGAGCUUCUUGGUAAGCUGGUUGGAUACAAGUUUAGCUGGGGUUAGCUUGGUUAAUCCCGAAUCGUAUUGAUAAAGGAGGGGUUGAUUCGAUCGUUAUUGGAUCUGAUAGUGAUCUGGGAAGAUCUAUGAGUUGCUUUUCUAUAAUGCAAGGCAUUAGAAUUUUUGGGCAGUGGCACAUAAAUUGCGAUGCUAACGAGAUUCAUAGUGGAAGUUGACUUUUGUAGCUUACACCGCCAUAAUUAGAUAUUAUUAUGCACUCAAUAUGCAUACAACCGAUGCUCGGUAUUAUGUGAUUAUGAGCAAAUUUAGCUCGAUGUGCAUCUCCCUAUGUAAGGUAAUUGAUUGGAUCGGGUGGCAUGCUUCCAUAGGGUAUGUUAUCUGGAUCGGGUUGCACACCGCAAUAGUGUGAGGUUGAGGAUAGUUGCCGUAUGUUACUUGGUAUGCCUUGCUUCCUAGUUUCUGAGGAAGUCCGUAUUGGGAGUUGCUCGGCGAAUAGCUUAUUGGUUGUGUCCUUUUAGGAUUGAAUGGUGUAUGUAACUUGCUUCACCGUGGGUGUGAUGGAUUGCUUGGUUUCAGAUAUCAAUCUGUGUGUGGCUGUCUAUUUUGAGCAUGGUGACUCGAGGUGCGUCAUGUGUAACAGUGUUUGGAUAGGAUCGCGCGUUGUGGCGAGGCCAUGUGAAGUUAUGGCCUUCUAAAAGGGAUUUAGGUAUUCUAUUUCUAUGAUGUGAGACGGGGUCUCUGCCUUGUGUUGUGAUGGUACUGAUGAGCUUGAGAAAUUUCUCUUUCAUUGAGUCAAUAUCAUGUAUUUGAGUGUAUUCGAGUCGUUCCUUAUUGGUGCACGUGUUAUGCAAAGUGUGGCUUAGGCCGAUGAUAAGGUGUCAUAUCACCAGAAUGGUAUGUAGGAUUCGAGGUGAUCGUUGGAGUCAUUAAUGAAUACGAACAGACUUGGUUGCAGAUUGUUGGAAGGUUAAUACUGAGGUUCGACUCGGAAAUCUGUUGUUAUAGUAGUCUAAGGGAAGUGACUUCAUGAAUUGUGAUCUGAGAGAUUGUUUCAGUAUUGCGUGUUUCAUUUAUGGUGGGCAGUAUACGAAAGUUUUGGAAUAAGACCUUGGUUAAUAAUAGGUUUCCACCGGUAUUCGGUGUUGUGGGCAAAUGUUGUGAAUAGAGACUAUCGUUUCGAGUGUUGAAUUAUGUGUUUUGUUGCAUGGGUUCACCUGGGGUUGCAAGUAUGGGUUAUUACAGCUGAUUCGGGCUUAUUCUGAGUAUAAAUGUGAGGUUCGAAUCUUGUGUAUGGUUUUGGAAGUGCAAUGUGGAUUCUACGGUUAUGGUCUAGAUGGACUGUGAAAAUUUUAGUUGUAUGGUAUUAUCGGUCCUAUGUGAGUUAGGGUGACGUGGGAACACCCCGGGUAAAUGUUUGGUACGGACAUUCAAGUAUCAGUUGGCUCCUAGUACAACUUUGGGCCCUCUCAAGGACGAGCGUUUGUUUAAGUUGGGGAGGAUGUAACGACCCGACCCGCUGUGACAUGAGUUACCAUCCCAUUUCCCGUUUUAUGCUCUUAUGUUUCAUUAUAUGUGUUUUGAGAAUUUGAAGUAAUUCGAAUACAGUUUGGUUAGAAAUGAGACAAUUAGUCUCUUUAUGAGGAGGUUAGUUUGGAAAAGUCAACCGAAUGUUGACUUAAGAGUUAGAAGGCUCGGAAUGGAUUUCCAAUGAUUUGACUAGUUUCGGGUGAUGACUUAUGACUUAGGAGCACAAUUGGAAUUAAAUAUUGAGGUGUGGUGUAGAAUUAAGCUUGAAUUGGCUAAGUUUGAAUUUUGGAGAAUUCCGGUUGAUAGGUGAGAUUUUGAUCCGAGGGUCGAAAUGGAAUUUCGACAGUUGCAAUAGCUCCGUUAGGUAAUUUUGGAUAUGCGUGCAAAGUUUUAGGUCGUUCGGAGGUAUUUAGGUCGGGUUUUUGAUCAAAUGCAAGUUUUGGAAGUUUUGGUUUGACUUAGGCUUGAAUCCGUGGUAAUUUGAUGAGUUUCAUGUAUAUGAUAGUGUUUUUAUGCCUCCAGCAAGUUUGAAUGAAGUAAUAGAACAUAUCUGUGCAUUUGGUUGAGGUCCCGAGAGCCUCGGGGUAAUUUUGGACGGCUAACAGGGAAUUUUGAAUAAGAAAGUUCAGCGGAAAAAUGCAGCGGAGAGUUUUCUCUAUGUGAUCACAUAGGUAUGUCUGCGAUCGCGUAGAACGUUUUGGAGGGGCCAUGGUCCCUAUGCGAUCACAUGAGAGGAUGUACGAUCGCAUAGGUGUGGGACUUUGUUCAGUGCGUUUGAACUCAAGGUGAUAUGAUCGCGUGAGGUGGAAGGCUGUGCUAUGCGAUCGCAGGGCCAGUGAUGCAAUCACAUCGAAGGAAUUUUGGAGAAGUUAAAUUUUUGCUAUGCGAUCGCAAUGGUAGUGAUGCAAUCGCAUAGGGAUAAAAAUACCUGGGCAGAAUGCUUUUAAGGGUUAUUUCAUCCGUGACUCAUUUAUUAUUUCCACCAUUUUUACGCUGACAAAAGAGGUUUUUGACCGAUUUGAAGAGGGUUUUCGACGGGUAUUGAUUGGAGGUAAGUCUCUUAACUUUGAAACACCAAUUUUAUCGAAGAAUUAACACCCAAAUCUAUGGAAAUAGGUUGAAAUUGUGAAGAACUAGGGCUUGAUUUUUGAAUAUGAAUUUUGGGGAUUUGAAAGACCAUUUGAACUCCGUUUUUAGUAAACUUUAGAUGUACGGAAUUGUGGCGAGACGAGGAAUCCGUUGAUGUGAUUUUCAGAAUUUUUUGAGAAGUGGGCCCGGGAAUCGGGUUUUACCAACUUCGUGAAUUUUAGUACUUUUCGAGUAUUUUUAAUUAGGUUAUGUUUCUUUAACCCAUAUUUAUGUAUACGUUGUGAAUUUGACUAGAUUCGACGCGCGAAGAGGUUGAUACAAGAGGAAAAGGCAUUGCAGACCAGUCUACGGCCGGUUAGAGGUGAGUAGUUUGUAUAGAUGAUGGCCUGAGGGUUUGAAACCCCGGUUUAUCGCAUUGUGACACUAUAUUAGAGCGUGACUCGCACCCCAUGGUAGGUGCGGGAUCGUAUAUGAUUGGGGAUUGUGACUUGGUCCAUUAUUGACGGUUUAUACACACAUUAUAUUGUUGAAUAUUGGGCUUAUUGCCAUAUUUGGGGCCUUAUGCCGAUUUAUAGCAUCCGUCUAGGGUGGAUAUUAUCGUGAUAGCAUGAUUUGUAUAAUCAUUGAUCUCAUUCCUGUAAUUAUUCACUGUUACGGAAUGCUAAGUCACUUUUCCUGAAAUUAAAUAAACUAAAUUAUAUUCUUCUUAAUAAUUGAAAACUGGGAAAUUAGUUGAACUUGUUAUGUGACUCAUAUGCAUACUGUGGACUGAGUAUGGAUCGGGUUGCACGCCGCAGUGAUGAUAUGAUGAUAUUGCGCUUGGGCUGUAAGAGCCCCUCUGGAGUCUGUACACACCCCCAGUGAGCGCCGUCGAGGAUAAAUGGAUCGGGCUAUAUGUCGUAGCGGGUCAUGUGCAUUGCAUUGCAUCUUCGCAUUAUACUUGACUGAUAUACUUGAUAUUACUUUGUUGUUGGUUCGUAGUUAAGUUGUCGGACUGUUAGUUUUAGCUUUACCUUGUGGCAUUUCGUGGAUUUCUUAUCUUCAGACAUUUUAUAUGUUUAUUACUUACUGAGUCGGUAGUCCUCACCCUUACUCCCUGUACCUUGUGUGCAGAUUCAGGUGCACCGGAGGCUUAGCUGAGCAGUCGUGGUCUCCAGAGUUUUUUUAGAGUUGUUGAGGUAGCUGCUUGACGUUCGCAGAACCUGACCAC
rnacentral:lncRNA from 1 species